AUUGAACGCUGGCGGCAUGCCUUACACAUGCAAGUCGAACGGCAGCACGGGAGCUUGCUCCUGGUGGCGAGUGGCGAACGGGUGAGUAAUGCAUCGGAACGUGCCCUGAAGUGGUGGAUAACGUAGCGAAAGUUACGCUAAUACCGCAUAUUCUGUGAGCAGGAAAGCAGGGGAUCUUCGGACCUUGCGCUUUUGGAGCGGCCGAUGUCGGAUUAGCUAGUUGGUGGGUAAAGGCCCACCAAGGCGACGAUCCGUAGCGGGUCUGAGAGGAUGAUCCGCCACACUGGAACUGAGACACGGUCCAGACUCCUACGGGAGGCAGCAGUGGGGAAUAUUGCGCAAUGGGCGAAAAGGCCUGACGCAGCCACGCCGCGUGAGCGAUGAAGGCCU
rnacentral:rRNA from 1 species